rnacentral:rRNA from 1 species
UACGAAGGAUGCAAGCGUUAUCCGGAUUUAUUGGGUUUAAAGGGUGCGUAGGCGGGUUAUUAAGUCAGUGGUGAAAGCCUUCAGCUCAACUGAAGAAUUGCCAUUGAUACUGAUGAUCUUGAGUAUGAUUGAGGUGGGCGGAAUGUGUCAUGUAGCGGUGAAAUGCUUAGAUAUGACACAGAACACCGAUUGCGAAGGCAGCUCACUAAGUCAUAACUGACGCUGAUGCACGAAAGCGUGGGGAGCAAACAGG